rnacentral:rRNA from 1 species
AACGAACGCUGGCGGCAGGCUUAACACAUGCAAGUCGAACGCCCCGCAAGGGGAGUGGCAGACGGGUGAGUAACGCGUGGGAACAUACCCUUUUCUACGGAAUAGCUCUGGGAAACUGGAAUUAAUACCGUAUACGCCCUACGGGGGAAAGAUUUAUCGGGGAAGGAUUGGCCCGCGUUGGAUUAGCUAGUUGGUGGGGUAAAGGCCUACCAAGGCGACGAUCCAUAGCUGGUCUGAGAGGAUGAUCAGCCACAUUGGGACUGGGACACGGCCCAAACUCCUACGGGAGGCAGCAGUGGGGAAUAUUGGACAAUGGGCGCAAGCCUGAUCCAGCCAUGCCGCGUGAGUGAUGAAGGCCUUAGGGUUGUAAAGCUCUUUCACCGAUGAAGAUAAUGACGGUAGUCGGAGAAGAAGCCCCGGCUAACUUCGUGCCAGCAGCCGCCGCCGUAA